GAUCAGCAAACGUCCCUCUACCUUCUUUUCCUUCAUCUUCCAGGGACUUAACACCCCUCUCCCCCCAAGAGUGCUUAUUACAGGAAGAAUGAUAUCCAACCCAAUCCAAAUGCUCUGCAAGGUCUUUUAAUCUGUCCAGGAAAGUGGAUGGUGUCUCUCCAACUUCAUGACUGACCCUUUCAAAUUUGGACCAUGUCCCUGGUCUUUGGGAACACUCCUUCGUGGUCUGGAGAACUAACUUUCUAGCAUUUACUAACUGCAGAGACCCAGCAUAAGAACACAUUUCCCAAUGAGGAUUCUAUAGAGGCCAGUCAACAAUUCUCAAAUAUUAAUUGGUUUCUGUAAUGAUUUUCAGUGUUUCCCUUUUUUGUUAGAAGUUCAUCCAAGAGGAUGUCAAAAUCGGUGUAGUUUAGAUCAAACUGCUUAAUUAUUUUUUAAACUUCUUUACUACUGCCAUCAGUUUGUCCUCAAAAGAGGGGAUUCCCUUUUUAAAAGAAUCUAUAUCACUUUGGGUAAACCCUUUAUGCAACUUUAUGUUCACGAUCUCAUGAUCAACAGGUAUUCUUGACAUUAAUGCAUUAUUUCUAUAAAAACAUUCAGAUUUAAAAAACCAUUCAAAUGACUAACUACCUCAAUGCAUUUGUCUGACUACUUUGAUAAAAAAAGGUAAUUUGUGAGCUCAUUAAUGUGGAUACUACUUUAGAAAGUGAAGAACUUUUUUUUUAAAUACAAGUAUAAUAUACAAAACAAUUGCUCUGAAAUAGAAGUAAUGUGAUGCAGAACAAUAAAAAGUGUAAUCAUUGCUCAAUCAA